UAUCGGAACGUGCCCUGGAGUGGGGGAUAACUAGUCGAAAGACUAGCUAAUACCGCAUACGAUCUAAGGAUGAAAUGGGGGAUCGCAAGACCUCAUGCUCGUGGAGCGGCCGAUAUCUGAUUAGCUAGUUGGUAGGGUAAAAGCCUACCAAGGCGACGAUCAGUAGCUGGUCUGAGAGGACGACCAGCCACACUGGGACUGAGACACGGCCCAG
rnacentral:rRNA from 1 species